AUUGAACGCUGGCGGCAGGCCUAACACAUGCAAGUCGAGCGGAUGACGGGAGCUUGCUCCUUGAUUCAGCGGCGGACGGGUGAGUAAUGCCUAGGAAUCUGCCUGGUAGUGGGGGACAACGUUUCGAAAGGAACGCUAAUACCGCAUACGUCCUACGGGAGAAAGCAGGGGACCUUCGGGCCUUGCGCUAUCAGAUGAGCCUAGGUCGGAUUAGCUAGUUGGUGAGGUAAUGGCUCACCAAGGCGACGAUCCGUAACUGGUCUGAGAGGAUGAUCAGCCACACUGGAACUGAGACACGGUCCAGACUCCUACGGGAGGCAGCAGUGGGGAAUAUUGGACAAUGGGCGCAAGCCUGAUCCAGCCAUGCCGCGUGUGUGAAGAAGGCCUUCGGGUUGUAAAGCACUUUCAGCGGGGAGGAAGGGUGGUGUGUUAAUAGCACAUCAUUUUGACGUUACUCGCAGAAGAAGCACCGGCUGACUCUGUGCCAGCAGCCGCGGUAA
rnacentral:rRNA from 1 species